rnacentral:rRNA from 1 species
GACGAACGCUGGCGGCGCGCUUAACACAUGCAAGUCGAGCGAGAACCAGGGCUUCGGUCCUGGGGACAGCGGCGAACGGGUGAGUAACACGUGGGUAAUCUGCCCUCGGUACUGGGAUAGCCCGGGGAAACCCGGAUUAAUACCGGAUGGCCCUUCGAGUUUUCGGACCCGAAGGAAAAGGUAGCUUCGGCCUCCGACCGAGGAUGAGCCCGCGGCGGAUUAGCUUGUUGGUGGGGUAACGGCCUACCAAGGCGACGAUCCGUAGCUGGUCUGAGAGGACGAUCAGCCACACUGGGACUGAGACACGGCCCAGACUCCUACGGGAGGCAGCAGUGGGGAAUCUUGCCCAAUGGGCGAAAGCCUGAGGCAGCGACGCCGCGUGCGGGAAGAAGGCCUUCGGGUUGUAAACCGCUUUCAGGAGGGACGAAGCCACUCGGGUGAAUAGCCCAGAGGGUGACGGUACCUCCAGAAGAAGCCCCGG